rnacentral:rRNA from 1 species
CGUAGGGUGUGAGCGUUAAUCGGAAUUACUGGGCGUAAAGCGUGCGCAGGCGGUUUUGUAAGACAGAUGUGAAAUCCCCCGGGCUCAACCUGGGACCUGCAUUUGUGACUGCAAGGCUAGAGUACGGUAGAGGGGGAUGGAAUUCCGCGUGUAGCAGUGAAAUGCGUAGAUAUGCGGAGGAACACCGAUGGCGAAGGCAAUCCCCUGGACCUGUACUGACGCUCAUGCACGAAAGCGUGGGGAGCAAACAGGAUUAGAUACCCUGGUAGUCCACGCCCUAAACGAUGUCAACUGGUUGUUGGGUCUUUACUGACUCAGUAACGAAGCUAACGCGUGAAGUUGACCGCCUGGGGAGUACGGCCGCAAGGUUG